rnacentral:rRNA from 1 species
UACGUAGGGUGCAAGCGUUGUCCGGAAUUCCUGGGCUUAAAGAGUUCGUAGGCGGCAUGAAAAGUAGGGUGUGAAAGCCCUCGGCUCAACCGAGGAAUUGCGCUCUAAACUGUCGUGCUCGAGGAACCUAGAGGUGAGCAGAACAGAUGGUGGAGCGGUGAAAUGCGUUGAUAUCAUCUGGAAUACCGGAGGCGAAGGCGGCUCACUGGGGGUUUUCUGACGCUGAGGAGCGAAAGCGUGGGGAGCGAACAGG